AUUCUUACUAAGCUACUGUUAACCACUAGGGAAGCUAGGUGGCCCAGUAGAUAUGUGAAUUUUAAAAGUCUCCAUCUUGGUCUAGCACCCAAAAAUUGUGCACACCCACACUACAUGGGCAUGUGCUAGUCAAUGACAAAUCAGAAAUAACUAACUGCCCACCUGGGCUGUCCUAAGCCAAGCUAGAGCCAACCAUUGGAUUUGUGAGACACAGGAAGUGAGGUAGGGAACAGCCUCUGGAAUUCGCUCACUUCCUGUGGAGAGAGCUAGACGCCAGUUGGUGUUAGGAGCUUGGAGAGGGAGGACGCCCGCAGACAGCUUUCCUUCAGAUCACUCACGAAGUAAACGUUGAGAGCUGGACUGUCCCUUUCUCUUGAUGUCAUAUAUUGACCUUCCUUCUGGUAUUAAGUCAUAAGCAAGCAGUUUCCAGCAUAAUAGCUUUGCCAGUUUGACUGUGACAAGACAGAAAUGACCAGUUAUAAAUCACUUGGCUUACCAGAGUAUAAUCAAGCAUGCAUUGGCCCACAGGCAUCUGGCCUCUCUCCUAGAAGCAUAAAACAGCACGGGAUGUAGGAAUCAGCGGGCUAGCCUUCCACAGCUUAGAUGUGGAAAUUAGGCAAUGAGAGUUUCUUCCUGUAGUUCAGUGGAAUGAAUAAUGAACCUGGCAUCAGAGGACCUGGAUUCAAAUCCUGAACCACCUGUUUAUUAUCUGUGCAAUCUUGGAUAAGGAAACUGAUACCCUUGAAGAUGAAGCAGCUUCCCCAAGGUCACACAAGCAGGAAGUGUCACCAUUAGGACUUGAUCCCAGGCCAAAGGCAGAUGUACGUUCAUCCCUGAAGCUCAACCGAAAUGGCAAUCUUGUUCUGUGCUCAGUAAUUAAAUCAGGUCGUAUACCAGUAUGCCCACUCUGUCUUUCUGUCUAGCUGGUUCAGGAUUAAAAAUGGAUCUUUGUAUUAAAUCGUUAUGUAAAUAAUCUGAGUUGGACCAGUUGUCAGGCCACUGGAUUUAAUAGGACUCAGGAGUUGGAGGUAAGGUAGCGUAGUAGGAAGAGGGUGGGUUUGGGAGUCAGGAAUCUGGAGUGGAAUUUUGGCUGUGCUAUUUCCUGGCUACAUCAUCAUGAACAAAUCAAUAAUCGGGUAUAUAAAUAUGAAAAAAAAAUUCUUGCUGAGCCUGUUUCCUUAUCUGAAAAAAAUGCGUAAGGUCUGUCUUACAAAGAUGUGAGCAGUAAUUAAUAUCCCUUAAAAUAUCAUAAAAACAUGAACUAAUGAUGAUAGUAGUGGCAGUGGUGAUGAUGAUGAUGAUGAUGAUAGGCUAAUGCAUUGGAUAGACAGGUAGCAAGACCUGAGUCUGAAUUCAACUUCUGACACUUACUUACUCAGCUACAUGAUCUUGGGCAAGUCAUUUAACCUAUGUUUGUUUUAGUUUUUCUUAUCUGAAAAUGGGACUAGCACCUACCUCCCAGGGUUUUUGUGAUGAAGAAAAGGGAUAAUAUUUGUAAUGCACUUUUCCAACUCUAAAGCACUAUAUAAAUAAAUGUUAGGUGCUCUAAUUAUUGUUGCA
rnacentral:lncRNA from 1 species